CCUGAAUUUGGACCCUGCAUGUCGAUCAGAAGGCGACAACGUGUUAAUUGGACCAAAUCAGAAAUGUGUCAUCUGUGGAGAGGAGUUCCCCUUUUCCAGAAUCAAGGAUCACAGCAAUAACUGCAUGAGGAGAUCCAGCGAUUGGUGAUGGUGUGACUCG